CCUACGGGAGGCAGCAUUUUUUCCUCUUUUACAAUGGGGGCAACCCUGAUCCAGCCAUGCCGCGUGUGUGAAGAAGGCCCUCGGGUUGUAAAGCACUUUCAGUGAGGAAGAACGCCUGGUGGUUAAUACCCAUCAGGAAAGACAUCACUCACAGAAGAAGCACCGGCUAACUCCGUGCCAGCAGCCGCGGUAAUACGGAGGGUGCGAGCGUUAAUCGGAAUUACUGGGCGUAAAGCGCGCGUAGGUGGCUUGAUAAGCCGGUUGUGAAAGCCCCGGGCUCAACCUGGGAACGGCAUCCGGAACUGUCAAGCUAGAGUGCAGGAGAGGAAGGUAGAAUUCCCGGUGUAGCGGUGAAAUGCGGAGAGAUCGGGAGGAAUACCAGUGGCGAAGGCGGCCUUCUGGACUGACACUGACACUGAGGUGCGAAAGCGUGGGUAGCAAACAGGAUUAGAUACCCGGGUAGUC
rnacentral:rRNA from 1 species